AGAGUGAACGCUGGCGGUAGGCCUAACACAUGCAAGUCGAACGGCAGCACAGUAGGAGCUUGCUCUUACGGGUGGCGAGUGGCGGACGGGUGAGGAAUACAUCGGAAUCUACCUUUUGGUGGGGGAUAACGUAGGGAAACUUACGCUAAUACCGCAUACGCCCUUCGGGGGAAAGCCGGGGACCAGCAAUGGCCUGGCGCUGAUAGAUGAGCCGAUGUCGGAUUAGCUAGUUGGUGAGGUAAUGGCUCACCAAGGCGACGAUCCGUAGCUGGUCUGAGAGGAUGAUCAGCCACACUGGAACUGAGACACGGUCCAGACUCCGUACGGGAGCAGCAGUGGGGAAUAUUGGACAAUGGGACGAAAGCCUAGAUCCAGCCAUGCGCGUGUGUGAAGAAGGUCUUACGGAUUAGUAAAGCUAACGUUUAAGUUGGGAAGGAAGGCAAGGUAAGCGAAUACCGUUGCUUAGUUU
rnacentral:rRNA from 1 species